CCUCUCUCCAGUUCGCACUAGUUAGUUUGACCCACUUCAACAUUUUCAACAUUAGAGAGAGAGAGAGGGAGAGAAGGAGGGACUCGUUUGCCUUUCUUUUCUUCCCAACUUCCACAGCUUUCUGUUUCUCUCUCUUCCCUUGCACUUUCUUUUUCUUCAUUUCAAUUCCCAAACACUUCGAAUUGCUCUUGUUCUUCUGCUGCACCCAGAGCCAUCAUAAGGGAUUGCAGUGUAGCGAUGGAGUUUGUGGGGAAGGCAGUUAAGAAAGAGGUGAAGGGGUUUGGGAUUAUUUCGGGAACAGUGAAAUCGUACGAUUCUGCGUCUGGUUUUUUGGAGAUCGUUUACGAAGAUGGUGAUUCUGAGGAAUUGGAGUCUUCUGACGUGGCUUCUCUCUUGCAAUUUCAACCGGAGAGUGUCAAGGCUAAGCCUCGAGUUGGUCGGAAACCUAAGAAGCGAUGCCGGGUCGAGAGGAAGCGCGAUGUUGGAGCAGGUUCAGGUAAUGUUAGAGAGAAUUUGGUGGCGGAGGGUACUGGUUUUAGGGGGGUUUUGGAUGGGGAUAUUUCUUCUGCUAGUGGUGGGGGUUUGGAUUUAGAUAGUGGUGUUUUAGAGAGAAAGUUGGAUGGUAUAGUUGGGAAUGGAGGGAAUCUUGAGAGCAAUGCUAAUGGGACUAAGGAGGAAAAUGGGGUUAGAGAAACUCUGAUAGAGGAAAUUAGCUUAGAAGAUAGUUUGAACAAGAGUAUAUCCGGAAAUGUUAGUUGUGCUAAAGAUGGACUUGAUUUGAAUGCUGGGCUUAAUCUGGAUGAGGAUUUAAAUUUGGAUGUGAGUAAUGAGGAUCGUUUGAAGAGAAGAGAUUGCAUUGAUUUAAAUUUGGAUGUGAGUAAUGAGGAUGACGUAGGCCGGGGAGAGGCAAUGCAGCGGGAAUGUAACUUUGAUUUAAAUGUGGAGGUAGUAUGUGAAGAAGGUAAGGAAACACGGUGUGAUGGUGACGGAAAUGGACAUUCUUUGGUGGAUAAUGCUUUGUUUGGUAAGAUGGGGCUGUCCCAAAAGGAAGACAUAAAUGUUAAUAACAGUUUUGUGGAAGGUGACGGCAUUAAUGGUAAUUUGAAUCACGCCUUUGAUGCGGUUAAAUUGGAGGUAAUUCAUGUUUCUGCUGAUCAUCCAUCUAAAGAAGGUUCUUUGUGUUUGAUUGAGGAAAAUGGAGGAGACAGUCGCAAAGAAGACGCAGGGACUAUUAAUUCUCAUCAGAUUUCAAGUGCAAUUUCUGUUAGGGAUUCAGAUUUUGGUGAGGCUCAGCUAGUUGAUUGUCCUUCUGAAGGUGGUAUUGCCAUAAUUCAUGAAUAUCAAGAUGAUCCAGGAAGUCCUUGCAAACAAGAAAAAUUCCUAGAUGUUUCAGAAAGUCCAUGCAAACAAGAAAAUAGCAGAAGGAAAAGAAGAAAAUUAGCAGAUAAUCCAGGAGCCAUGCCAGAGACAGUUUUAAGGAGGAGCUCUCGUCGGGCAUCAGCUAGAAAAGGGGUUUCAAGCACCUUAGAAGUGGAAGUGGCUGAUGAUCCUUUGGUAACCUUGGGAACUGAUGUCUUAACAGAAGAAAAACCUCUAAUCCUUGUUUCUCAGAAAUCUGAGCAAUAUAACAAUGAUCUGAGAUACAGGCAAUGCAACAAUCUUCUUCCAAAGCUGCAAUUGCCCCCGUCUUCUACAAAUUUGAAUUUAGAUGGUGUUCCUGUUCUUGAACUGUUUUCUAUUUAUGCCUGUUUAAGAUCAUUCAGUACUUUGUUAUUUUUGAGUCCAUUUGAGUUGGAGGAUCUUGUGGCUGCACUAAAGUCUGAAAUUCCAAGUAUAUUAUUUGACAGCAUUCAUGUUUCUAUUUUGCAAACUCUGAGGAAGCAGUUGGAAUACCUUUCCAAUGAGGGUUGCCAAUCUGCAUCCAAUUGUCUGAGGAACCUUAACUGGGAUUUUUUGGACCUGGUCACAUGGCCUAUUUUCAUGGCAGAGUACCUUCUGAUUCAUGGCUCGGGAUUUAAAACUGGUUUUGAUAUUAAACAUCUAAUGUUCAGAACUGAUUACUAUAGACAACCUGUAACGGUAAAGGUCGAGAUUCUCCAGUACCUGUGUGAUGAUAUGAUUGAAUCAGAAGCCAUAAGGUCAGAGCUUAACAGAAGAUCUUUGGUUACGGAGACUGAUAUGGGUUUUGAUCAGAAUAUGUAUUUUGACGCAUCCAAGAAAAGAAGAGCUGUAAUGGAUGUGUCUGGUGGCUCCUGCUUGACCGAGGAGAAUGUGGAUGACACAACUGACUGGAACAGUGACGAAUGUUGCCUGUGCAAGAUGGAUGGUAGUUUAAUAUGCUGUGACGGAUGCCCUGCUGCAUUCCAUUCACGAUGUGUGGGAAUUGCCAGUGACAAACUGCCAGAAGGUGACUGGUAUUGCCCUGAGUGUGGAAUUGGCAAACACAGGGCUUGGAUGAAAUCACGAAGGUCACUUCGAGGAGCGGACCUAUUAGGGAUGGAUAUGGAUGGCAGUGUCUAUUUCAACAGCUGCAGUUACCUGCUAGUGUCAAGCUCAUCUGAAGCAGGGCCAUUGUUCUAUUACUACCACCGAAAUGAUAUACACAUAGUAAUUGAAGCUCUAAAAUCUAUGGGUCCUUUAUAUAGAGGCAUACUAAUGGCUAUCUAUAAGCAUUGGGAUAUCAAAGCUAACUUGAAUGUAGUGGAUAGUGUCUUUAAUCAAAGUUCCAGCAAGAACAUGCAGAUGAAGGGAGAAUAUUCUACUAGGUAUACAUCUUUGGCACCUUCUACUUCAGAGAUAUGUUUGGACAAUAAUCAGGCCAAUGGUCAAGGAAAGUUGGAUGAAAAUUCAACUGUUGACUGUUGUAUGCGACUUGGCCAAGAGUUUCCUAAAGUUGGGAACUGCCUAGACUCAACGAUCACCAUAGAAAGUCCUUGUGUUGCUUCAGAUGGAUCAGCUGAUACCACACAGACGAGAACAGGCACCAACAAUGUUCAGACGUGUGGGCUCAAUGAUUUCAAUAGAUGUAAUGAAUCCUUGAAUCAGCCAGGAGUACCAGAAAGACACUAUCCCGACUGUUCUUUGACAUCUUCCAGCUUGGAUGCGGGGCAUAAAAUAAACUUAAGAUCUGUAGGUGCUAGCAGUACCCCCUCCCCAGACAGUAAGGAUACUUCAGAAGGACCUUGUGGAAUUGAAUAUGUAAACUAUUAUAGCUUUGCCCGAACAGCUUCAUUUGUUGCACAGGAGUUGAUGUGUAAGUCGCCUGAGAAAAUGAAUAAGAUUUUUGCAAUGUCUGAAGAAGAAUUUAUUUCAGAUCAAACCAAGGUCAUUAUGAAGAAAUCUACUAACUUUUGUUGGCCAAGUAUUCCCGAACUGGAUGCAGCUGCUCAAAAAGAAAAAUGUGGGUGGUGCUUUACUUGCAAAGUUGCUAAUGAAGACAGGGAUUGUUUGUUUAAUUCUGUUGUGAAGCCUGUUUGGGAAGUGUCCAAUAGCACUUCGGUUGGGCCUCAACCCAGGAAUAUCCAGAAUGGACAUCUUAGAGAUAUCAUAUGUCUUAUCUUCUCUCUUGAGGUUCGGUUACGUGGGCUUUUAUUGGGUCCGUGGCUUAAUCUGCAUCAAACAAAUCUUUGGCAUAAAGAUCUUUUGAAGACAUCUGAUUUUCUUCGUGUUAAGCGAUUAUUGCUUCUUUUAGAAUCCAAUUUGCGGCCUUUUGCUCUUUCAGCAGAUUGGUUAAAGCAUGUGGAUUCUGUUCCUACAAUGGGGUCCGCUAUUCAUAUUGUGGUUUCACGCACAUCUUCCAGGCAUGGUAUUGCAAAGAAAAGGGCCAGGUAUUCAGAUACUGAAACCAGUUCAUCUUCAAACAGUGCUAGUGGUUUGGGGAUGUACUGGUGGAGAGGUGGCAGGCUUUCCCGAAAAUUGUUUAAUUUGAAGGCUUUGCCUCAGUCCUUGGUUGCCAAGGCUGCUAGACAAGGUGGGUGUAAGAAGAUACCUGGAAUUUUAUAUCUUGAGAAUUCAGACUUUGCACGGAGAAGCAGAUUUGUUGCCUGGCGAGCAGCUGUUGAGAUGUCAACAAGUGCUGAGCAGCUUGCUUUACAGGUUAGAGAGCUUUAUUCAAACAUAAGGUGGCUUGAUAUUGAGAACAAUCAUCCUUUAUGUGUGUUGGACAAGGAAUCUAGAAAAUCAGUCAGGCUGUUCAAAAAAUCAAUUGUACGCAGGAAGUGCACUGAAGGGCAAUCUGUGAAAUAUCUUAUUGAUUUUGGAAAGAGAAGGGCUAUUCCGGAUGUUGUUAUUAAACAUGGCUCUCUGUUGGAACAAUCCUCUAGUGAGAGAAAAAAAUAUUGGCUAGAGGAAUCUUAUGUUCCAAUGCAUCUUCUAAAAAAUUUUGAGGACAAAAGAAUUGUUCGGAAAUCCACUGAUAAGAAACUUGGAAAAAUGCUUGAGAUUGGUAAAGUAAACAAGAAAGUUCCUCAAGAAAGGGGAUUUUCAUAUCUGUUUACUAGAUUGGAAAGAUCUGAUUGUCAUCAAUGCGGGCUCUGCAACAAAGAUGUUUCAGUGAGGGAUGCUGUGAGGUGCCUCCAUUGCAAAGGAUAUUUCCACAAGAGGCAUGUCAGGAAAUCAGGUAGCACAACAAAUACUGGAAGCACAUAUUCAUGUCACAGAUGUCAGGAUGGGUUGCAUGCAAAUACUAAUACCAAUAAAAGAAAAGUUGGCUCAAAACUGCAGAAGAUUCAAGCAAAGAAACGUAAAACUGUGCCUUCAGUUUGUAAGUCAGUAAACCUCAAGGGCAACAAGAAGGCAUUGAGUAAGGUACGCCAGGGAAGAUCUCGAAACAGUAAGAAUAUCCAAUCAAGUGUACCUCUUCGCCGAUCUACUAGAAAGGCCAAAUCCCUGUAUAUGCAAAGUCAAAUGAACGGUGGACGUAAAAAAGGAAAGCCUGGUAAAAAGAAUGUGGGACGUAAAAAGGGAAAGCAAAGUAAAUCCAAGAAGGUGACCUCUCCGGAGUCCAAUGAACCUACUGGUGAAUAUGCAAAGUUAACAGUAACUACACGAGGGACGAGAACAAAGUUCUGUAGCAGUUAUUGGCUUAAUGGUCUUCGGUUGUCUCGAAAGCCAAAUGAUGAGCGAGUAUUGCUAUUUAAAGAGAAGAAGACCAUUGUCUCCUCUGAAGACUUUUCUGGCUCUCUUGACUGUCUUAACUGCUGCCUUUGUUGUGGAAAUGGAUACACCUUGAAUUAUAUUGCGUGUGAAAUAUGUGGAGAUUGGUUUCAUGGUGAUGCUUUUGGGCUUAAUGUGGACAAUGUCAAACAACUUAUUGGAUUUAAGUGCCAUGUUUGUCUUGAUAGAACUGCUCCAAUCUGUCCUCAUGUGAAAAUUAAUGCAUUUUCUCGUCCUGAAAGCAGUGCUGCAAAUGAGUGUGCAGAGGAAUUAUCUAAUCCUGUUUCUCUUCAACCUUUAAGUGAGAUCCCAUGCAAUUAAAUACCGUUGGCAGUCAUGGAUGAAAUCUUCACUGUGCUGGGGUUAUGGUACAAUUGUUUUUGUGGGAAGAUUCAUAUAUUGAUACAGCUAGUUAGUUAGAUAAAUGGGUUUACAGAAACUGGGUUCAGAUUCUUCGAGGAUUGCUUUUUCUUCUUUAAUAUGAGGGAUCUUUUGGGUUAAGCUGAAAAUGUUGCAUACAGUAGUUGGUGAGGAGCCUUCUAGUGUAACAAUUGAAUCAGCAAGUGAGAAGUGGUUUGAUGAUCUGCACUGAAAAAAGUCAUGGCAGGACUUCAGAUGCCAGCUUCUUGUAUGGUUGUUUUUCUUUUCCUGCAGGGUCUGGUGGCAAAUGAUUAUUUUAAUAUAAAAAGAAUUGUCCUUAGACAGGUUCAGUGUAGGAGAAUGAUCGAAUGCGUUGAUCAAGCUUCUGCUCAAUUGCCUUCUAUUUUAACGAACGGUUGUGGAAAUGGAAAGAUGAAUAACGAAAGAAGCAUGUAGCUGAAGAUGACUGUAAUCUGGACAUAGUAGAGUUCAUACAUCAAUUGCAUUCAUGAUUGUUAUUCUAACCCAUCAACAUUCAUUGUAGCAUUCUUUAAUGUAGGGUCUUGUCUUCAUCUUCACUUGAACUGAUUUCACUAAUGUCUUGUCAAACUCUUUUAAAGGAAUGGAGUAUAUAAAUCAUAGAAGAUCUCAGUAUAGAUUAUAUUGAUCGUGGCAGAUAGUAAAUAGAAUCUUGCUCUGUAAAGAUUUCUCUGCUGGUUUUGUUGUUCGUUGUCUUGGUGAAAAUUGAAGCAUUGGAGAAAGGGGGAGUUCUUUUCGCCUUCUUCUUCACCGGAGUUCUACAGGGAUAGAUUAACAUGCUGAUUCCGAAAUACCCUUUAUACAAUUUUACUUGUAGUUUUAACUAAACACUAAUGUUUGUUUGUUUGUUAAUUUUGGAAUGAAUUGAUAGGUUAAAUCUGUUAAUAAAUUGUUAUUCUUACAUGCUUGUUGUAAACUAUGUCUGUAUUAUAAAUUGAGUCUUUGCUUCCUAACACGUUGAUAAAGAACCAUUAAAACAAAUUACCUGUUC